rnacentral:tmRNA from 1 species
GGGGGUGUCUUGGUUUCGACUUAGGAGUAAGGCAUCAGUGGCAUGCGGAGGUUGAUCGGUUGGCCUCCUAAAAAAGCCGAUUAAAACACAAACGACAACUCUAAAGUUGUUAAACUAGUUCAACCAUCCGUUCAUACGGCAGUUGAAGCCGCAGCUUAACCGCUGCCUAGUUUCGGUAGGCUGAGAUCUGACCGAGAGUUUCAGGUUUCUACCGUCAUUCAUCUUGGUAUGAACUCCCCGCCUUCUAGGGCUAUCCAGGUAGGAGUUCGAGACACAAGAAGGCCUAGUUGACCCCAAGUGCCGCACCUUGCAGCAAGGUCAACUUAAUAAGAAGGUUCUAAGCAUGUAGUCAUUGUUGUCAAACUUGCUAAGGACGAGAGUUCGAUUCUCUCCACCUCCAAAA